CUCUUUUAUAAAGAGGGCGAGUACCAAACAGGUUGAUAUAUCUCUUCUCCUUGAUGCCGCACACAACAGGUUCUGCAAUAUUUCCUUCUUUAUCUUUCUUUUUCUCUUUACUCUCAAAGAACUCAUUUGUGUUAAAAAGUCAACCAUGAGUAGCUGAUUUUUUUUUUCCUAGUUGAUAGAUCUAGCAGACUUCAUCAAUGUAUUUGUGAGGUUUAAUUGAGUUAAUUUGAGUUUUACUUC
rnacentral:lncRNA from 1 species